UACAGAGGGUGCAAGCGUUAAUCGGAAUUACUGGGCGUAAAGCGUGCGUAGACGGUUAUGUAAGUUAGGUGUGAAAGCCCCGGGCUCAAUCUGGGAAUUGCAUUUAAGACUGCAUAGCUAGGGUGCGGAAGAGGGAAGCGGAAUUUCCGGUGUAGCGGUGAAAUGCGUAGAUAUCGGAAGGAACACCAGUGGCGAAAGCGGCUUCCUGGUCCAGCACCGACGUCAGGCACGAAAGCGUGGGGAGCAAACAGG
rnacentral:rRNA from 1 species